CCGAGUCUCAGCUGAGCUCCUCACAGCAUCACCACCAAAUCAAAAACAAAAUUUUUAAAAAUCUUUUGUACUUUCAGACUCCUCCCCUUCUAUUUCUUCUGGAAAAACCUGUUACCAGACUGGAUGACAUCAUCUCACCUGUUGAACAGGAAAUAAGUCAACGGUUUAAACCCCAGACAGGGUCACUGUGGACAAACGUCUCCGGGUGUAUUCCAACCAGAAACCCUGGAUGACCAAACAGGUCCAGGCCCUGCUGAAGCAACGUCACUCCGCUUCCAGAUCCGGUGAUGGUAUGUAAUACCGUGGUGGGGCUCAUCUCUGUGGGAGACGAGACGGCAUACAGAGCUGAGGUUCAGAGGCUGUCGGAUUGGUGGGCAGACAACAACCUGGACCUCAACACCACCAAGACAAAAGAGCUGGUAGUCGACUCCAGAAGGAGGAAGUCUGUGCUACAGCCCAUCAGCAUGAGUGGGGAGUGCGUGGAAAGGGUGUCUCGUUUCAAGUUCCUGGGUGUGCACAUAGACGCAGACCACUUUCUGACAAUCCUCAGAAAAAUGGACCUGAAGAAGGAGCUGCUGAUCAUCUUCUACCGCUGCUCCAUUGAAAGUGUGCUGACAUACUGCAUCGGUGUGUGGUUCUCCAGUUGCACCGUGGCACCCAUAAAGGCACUUCAGAGGGUCAUCAAUAUGGCCCAGAAAAGUCAUUGGACAUCCUCUUUCCUCCCUGAAGGACCUGUACAGCACAUGCUGGCUCCAGAGGCCAGGCAGCAUCCUACAGGACUGUACACACCCAGGACACGGGGUGUUUAAGCUGCUGCUGUCUGGCAGGAGGUUCAGGCUGCUGAGGUCGUGGACAGACAGACUCAAGGACAGUUUUACAACAGGACAACAGACCUACUCAAUGCUAACAGCUGACCUGAUUAGCUACCUCCAUACACUUUUGUGUUGUGUGUAACGCAGACCGGUGUGUAAAAAAUAUUAUUCAUUAGAAAGAAGGAAGAGAAGACAGGCUCGGACUUGCUAAGGUCUGCAGCUCAGGUUCAGUUCCAUUUGAAUGAUAUAGUUGUGAUUGUAUUUGACAGUAAAGACUUCCUGUGAUGUUAAAAAGCUGCUGG
ensembl:lncRNA